rnacentral:rRNA from 1 species
CAGUAGCCGCGGGAAUACAGAGGGUGCGAGCGUUAAUCGGAUUUACUGGGCGUAAAGCGUGCGUAGGCGGCUUUUUAAGUCGGAUGUGAAAUCCCUGAGCUUAACUUAGGAAUUGCAUUCGAUACUGGGAAGCUAGAGUAUGGGAGAGGAUGGUAGAAUUCCAGGUGUAGCGGUGAAAUGCGUAGAGAUCUGGAGGAAUACCGAUGGCGAAGGCAGCCAUCUGGCCUAAUACUGACGCUGAGGUACGAAAGCAUGGGGAGCAAACAGGAUUAGAUUCCCCGUAGUCCCUGUCUCUUAUACA